rnacentral:rRNA from 1 species
AUGCAGUGGCGGGUGCUAAUACAUGCAAGUCGAGCGGACAGAAGGGAGCUUGCUCCCGGAUGUUAGCGGCGGACGGGUGAGUAACACGUGGGUAACCUGCCUGUAAGACUGGGAUAACUCCGGGAAACCGGAGCUAAUACCGGAUAGUUCCUUGAACCGCAUGGUUCAAGGAUGAAAGACGGUUUCGGCUGUCACUUACAGAUGGACCCGCGGCGCAUUAGCUAGUUGGUGGGGUAAUGGCUCACCAAGGCGACGAUGCGUAGCCGACCUGAGAGGGUGAUCGGCCACACUGGGACUGAGACACGGCCCAGACUCCUACGGGAGGCAGCAGUAGGGAAUCUUCCGCAAUGGACGAAAGUCUGACGGAGCAACGCCGCGUGAGUGAUGAAGGUUUUCGGAUCGUAAAGCUCUGUUGUUAGGGAAGAACAAGUGCGAGAGUAACUGCUCGCACCUUGACGGUACCUAACCAGAAAGCCACGGCUAACUACGUGCCAGCAGCCGCGGUAAUACGUAGGUGGCAAGCGUUGUCCGGAAUUAUUGGGCGUAAAGGGCUCGCAGGCGGUUUCUUAAGUCUGAUGUGAAAGCCCCCGGCUCAACCGGGGAGGGUCAUUGGAAACUGGGAAACUUGAGUGCAGAAGAGGAGAGUGGAAUUCCACGUGUAGCGGUGAAAUGCGUAGAGAUGUGGAGGAACACCAGUGGCGAAGGCGACUCUCUGGUCUGUAACUGACGCUGAGGAGCGAAAGCGUGGGGAGCGAACAGGAUUAGAUACCCUGGUAGUCCACGCCGUAAACGAUGAGUGCUAAGUGUUAGGGGGUUUCCGCCCCUUAGUGCUGCAGCUAACGCAUUAAGCACUCCGCCUGGGGAGUACGGUCGCAAGACUGAACUCAAAGGAAUUGACGGGGGCCCGCACAAGCGGUGGAGCAUGUGGUUUAAUUCGAAGCAACGCGAAGAACCUUACCAGGUCUUGACAUCCUCUGACAACCCUAGAGAUAGGGCUUUCCCUUUCGGGGGACAGAGUGACAGGUGGUGCAUGGUGUCGUCAGCUCGUGUCGUGAGAUGUUGGGGUUAAGUCCCCGCAACGAGCCGCACCCCUUUGAUCUUAGUUGGCCAGGCAUUUAAGUUGG